rnacentral:rRNA from 1 species
GACGAACGCUGGCGGCGUGCUUAACACAUGCAAGUCGAGCGGUAAGGCCCUUUCGGGGGUACACGAGCGGCGAACGGGUGAGUAACACGUGGGUGACCUGCCCUCAGCUCUGGGAUAAGCCUGGGAAACUGGGUCUAAUACCGGAUAUGACUCCAUGACGCAUGUUGUGGGGUGGAAAGCCUUGUGCGGCUGAGGAUGGGCCCGCGGCCUAUCAGCUUGUUGGUGGGGUGANGGCCUACCAAGGCGACGACGGGUAGCCGGCCUGAGAGGGCGACCGGCCACACUGGGACUGAGACACGGCCCACGACUCCUACGGGNGGCAGCAGUGGGGAAUCUUGCGCAAUGGGCGAAAGCCUGACGCAGCGACGCCGCGUGAGGGAGUGG